UACGGGAGGCAGCAGUGGGGAAUAUUGCACAAUGGGCGCAAGCCUGAUGCAGCCAUGCCGCGUGUAUGAAGAAGGCCUUCGGGUUGUAAAGUACUUUCAGCGGGGAGGAAGGCGAUGUGGUUAAUAACCGCGUCGAUUGACGUUACCCGCAGAAGAAGCACCGGCUAACUCCGUGCCAGCAGCCGCGGUAAUACGGAGGGUGCAAGCGUUAAUCGGAAUUACUGGGCGUAAAGCGCACGCAGGCGGUCUGUUAAGUCAGAUGUGAAAUCCCCCGGGCUUAACCUGGGAACUGCAUUUUGAAACUGGCAGGCUUGAGUCUCGUAGAGGGGGUAGAAUUCCAGGUGUAGCGGUGAAAUGCGUAGAGAUCUGGAGGAAUACCGGUGGCGAAGGCGGCCCCUGGGACGAAGACUGACGCUCAGGUGCGAAAGCGUGGGGAGCAAACAGGGAUUAGAUACC
rnacentral:rRNA from 1 species